CUGCUGCCUCCCGUAGGAGUUUGGUCCGUGUCUCAGUACCAAUGUGGGGGGUUAACCUCUCAGUCCCCCUAUGUAUCGUCGCCUUGGUAAGCCGUUACCUUACCAACCAGCUAAUACAACGCAUGCCCAUCUGUAACCGCCGAAACUUUCAACCACAAGAGAUGCCUCUCAUAGUGUUAUGCGGUAUUAGUACCGAUUUCUCAGUGUUAUCCCCCUGUUACAGGUAGGUUGCAUACGCGUUACGCACCCGUGCGCCGGUCGCCA
rnacentral:rRNA from 1 species